rnacentral:rRNA from 1 species
AUGGCCAUGAAUGGCGUUGGAUGCCGGGCAACCGCCCGCAUUAUGGGCGUUGGCCUCAACACGAUUUUCCGCCAUUUAAAAAACUCAGGCCGCAGUCGGUAACCUCGCGCAUACAGCCGGGCAGUGACGUCAUCGUCUGCGCGGAAAUGGACGAACAGUGGGGAUACGUCGGGGCUAAAUCGCGCCAGCGCUGGCUGUUUUACGCGUAUGACAGGCUCCGGAAGACGGUUGUUGCGCACGUAUUCGGUGAACGCACUAUGGCGACGCUGGGGCGUCUUAUGAGCCUGCUGUCACCCUUUGACGUGGUGAUAUGGAUGACGGAUGGCUGGCCGCUGUAUGAAUCCC